GACGAACGCUGGCGGCGUGCUUAACACAUGCAAGUCGAACGGUAAGGCCCUUCGGGGUACGACGAGUGGCGAACGGGUGAGUAACACGUGGGUGAUCUGCCCUGCACUUCGGGAUAAGCCUGGGAAACUGGGUCUAAUACCGGAUAGGACCAUGGACUUCACGGUUUGUGGUGGAAAGCUUUUGCGGUGUGGGAUGGGCCCGCGGCCUAUCAGCUUGUUGGUGGGGUAAUGGCCUACCAAGGCGACGACGGGUAGCCGGCCUGAGAGGGUGUCCGGCCACACUGGGACUGAGAUACGGCCCAGACUCCUACGGGAGGCAGCAGUGGGGAAUAUUGCACAAUGGGCGCAAGCCUGAUGCAGCGACGCCGCGUGAGGGAUGACGGCCUCGGGUUGUAAACCUCUUUCAAUAGGGACGAAGCGCAAGUGACGGUACCGUAUAGAAGAAGCACCGGCCAACUACGUGCCAGCAGCCGCGGUAAU
rnacentral:rRNA from 1 species